GAUGAACGCUGGCUGUGUGCCUAAUACAUGCAUGUCGAACGAAGCACUUGUGCUUAGUGGCAAAUGGGUGAGUAACACGUACUUAAUCUACCUUUGAGAUUGGAAUAACAUUUGGAAACAACUGCUAAUACCAAAUAUGUAAUCAUUUCGCAUGAAUUGAUUAUAAAAGGAGCGUUUGCUUCGCUUAAAGAUGAGAGUGCGUUACAUUAGAUAGUUGGUAAGGUAAUGGCUUACCAAGUCAAUGAUGUAUAGCGGGUCGAGAGGCUGAACCGCCACACUGGGACUGAGAUACGGCCCAGACUCCUACGGGAGGCAGCAGUAGGGAAUAUUCCACAAUGAACGAAAGUUUGAUGGAGCGACACAGUGUGCAGGAUGACGGUCUUAGGAUUGUAAACUGC
rnacentral:rRNA from 1 species